CUGCGUCAGCAGCCACGUCCCCCACAGCACGAGGGCUCGAUGCCCCCGGUCGAGCGGCAGACAGGGUCUCUCUUGCCAGCCCGCCGCCAGCAGGCCUACUAUCGCCAGUGGCAAGAGCCACCCUAUCUGUCCGGCCAGAUGCUCGUUAAAGAGCCUGAAGGGGCCACGCUCGCCGUUCUCGCCGACACCGCCCGGGCCGUAUCGUCCGCCCCACAGGGCAUCUUCUUGGAGGCU
rnacentral:misc_RNA from 1 species